CGAGUGGUGACGCUCGGGAGAGAAGAAGCAAUAGCGAAAUCGUGGCCUGACGAACAGAAACAUGGUACUAAGGCGCAUCAAGCGGACAAGCUGGCUAAAGACAGUGAAGCUCCUAAAGGCAACCGUAACCUUGUUGCGUAAACCAUGCAGGUAAACGAGGAAAGAUGUAUGGC
rfam:Prevotella salivae F0493 contig00001, whole genome shotgun sequence.